ACGCUAGCUACAGGCUUAACACAUGCAAGUCGAGGGGCAGCAUGGUCUUAGCUUGCUAAGGCCGAUGGCGACCGGCGCACGGGUGAGUAACACGUAUCCAACCUGCCGUCUACUCUUGGACAGCCUUCUGAAAGGAAGAUUAAUACAAGAUGGCAUCAUGAGUCCGCAUGUUCACAUGAUUAAAGGUAUUCCGGUAGACGAUGGGGAUGCGUUCCAUUAGAUAGUAGGCGGGGUAACGGCCCACCUAGUCUUCGAUGGAUAGGGGUUCUGAGAGGAAGGUCCCCCACAUUGGAACUGAGACACGGUCCAAACUCCUACGGGAGGCAGCAGUGAGGAAUAUUGGUCAAUGGGCGAGAGCCUGAACCAGCCAAGUAGCGUGAAGGAUGACUGCCCUAUGGGUUGUAAACUUCUUUUAUAAAGGAAUAAAGUCGGGUAUGGAUACCCGUUUGCAUGUACUUUAUGAAUAAGGAUCGGCUAACUCCGUGCCAGCAGCCGCGGUAAUACGGAGGAUCCGAGCGUUAUCCGGAUUUAUUGGGUUUAAAGGGAGCGUAGAUGGAUGUUUAAGUCAGUUGUGAAAGUUUGCGGCUCAACCGUAAAAUUGCAGUUGAUACUGGAUAUCUUGAGUGCAGUUGAGGCAGGCGGAAUUCGUGGUGUAGCGGUGAAAUGCUUAGAUAUCACGAAGAACUCCGAUUGCGAAGGCAGCCUGCUAAGCUGCAACUGACAUUGAGGCUCGAAAGUGUGGGUAUCAAACAGGAUUAGAUACCCUGGUAGUCCACACGGUAAACGAUGAAUACUCGCUGUUUGCGAUAUACUGCAAGCGGCCAAGCGAAAGCGUUAAGUAUUCCACCUGGGGAGUACGCCGGCAACGGUGAAACUCAAAGGAAUUGACGGGGGCCCGCACAAGCGGAGGAACAUGUGGUUUAAUUCGAUGAUACGCGAGGAACCUUACCCGGGCUUAAAUUGCAGAUGAAUUACGGUGAAAGCCGUAAGCCGCAAGGCAUCUGUGAAGGUGCUGCAUGGUUGUCGUCAGCUCGUGCCGUGAGGUGUCGGCUUAAGUGCCAUAACGAGCGCAACCCUUGUUGUCAGUUACUAACAGGUUCCGCUGAGGACUCUGACAAGACUGCCAUCGUAAGAUGUGAGGAAGGUGGGGAUGACGUCAAAUCAGCACGGCCCUUACGUCCGGGGCUACACACGUGUUACAAUGGGGGGUACAGAGGGCCGCUACCACGCGAGUGGAUGCCAAUCCCCAAAACCUCUCUCAGUUCGGACUGGAGUCUGCAACCCGACUCCACGAAGCUGGAUUCGCUAGUAAUCGCGCAUCAGCCACGGCGCGGUGAAUACGUUCCCGGGCCUUGUACACACCGCCCGUCAAGCCAUGGGAGCCGGGGGUACCUGAAGUGCGUAACCGCGAGGAGCGCCCUAGGGUAAAACUGGUGACU
rnacentral:rRNA from 1 species